UACGGAGGAUGCGAGCGUUAUCCGGAUUUAUUGGGUUUAAAGGGCGUGUAGGCGGGACUGCAAGUCAGAUGUGAAAUUCCAGGGCUCAACCCUGGAACUGCAUUUGAAACUGUAGUUCUUGAGUGAUGGAGAGGCAGGCGGAAUUCCGUGUGUAGCGGUGAAAUGCGUAGAUAUACGGAGGAACACCAGUGGCGAAGGCGGCCUGCUGGACAUUAACUGACGCUGAGGAGCGAAAGCGUGGGUAUCGAACAGG
rnacentral:rRNA from 1 species